CACCUUCGGGUGAGUGGCGGACGGGUGAGUAACGCGUGGGAACGUGCCCUUUGGUUCGGAACAACACAGGGAAACUUGUGCUAAUACCGAAUGUGCCCUUCGGGGGAAAGAUUUAUUGCCAUUGGAGCGGCCCGCGUUGGAUUAGCUAGUUGGUGGGGUAAAGGCCCACCAAGGCUACGAUCCAUAGCUGGUCUGAGAGGAUGAUCAGCCACACUGGGACUGAGACACGGCCCAG
rnacentral:rRNA from 1 species